UUUAAUUAACCCCUGUAAUUCGGUAGGUGGGAUUUUCAUAAAGCAUGCUCGAGCAUUAAAUUCUCAAUAAUAGAGUCUCCCUGAGAAUUCUUCCCAUCACGAUCACAUAACGUUUCGAAGAAUCCUCGAUCUAGUUUGGAAAAAAACAGACAUAAACCGCGUUGAGAGAUAUUGGAAAAACAAUACAAACCAGUCAUCCUUUUCUACAGAUUAUUCGAGAUUAAUUUAUAGUCUCGAUCCCUCGUAGUUUUCUAAGGUGCUCGGUGUGAAAAGGAGGGUAGUGAGAGAAAUCCUCGGAUGAGACUAGCCCGGACUCAAUCGUGGGAGACACGGACACAAAAGCCGUCGUUGUAUUCUCGGCACUACAAGCAGUAAAAGAGAAUAUUGUUUAGCACAUAAUCAAAAUCUUCGAGAGAGCAACUAGUGGGCUCCCUCUGUAGAUUACAUAAUUUCCUCCGAAGCAAAACGACCCGUUUCAUAACAAAAACUAUAGGAAGUAAAACUAAUUUGCUGCCCAUAAUUAACAAAAAGAAGGGAAAUUGCCAUCAAAAUUCGCAUUCAUUGCUCAUGGUUUUGAUGUAUUGGUGAAACAUGAUGUGGGCUACAGGUAAUUACCUGGUUCCACCUGUCUGAAGAAUGAUUCAACAGCUUCAAAACCUCAACACUUGCCCGCUAAACGCCCUGCCCGAAUCAGUGCCAAAAAUAUGUCCAAGUCAUGUUUCACAAGAAAUUAAGAAGUGGAGAGGAUUUAUACUCCCAAAAAAGCAAAUAAAGAAA
rnacentral:lncRNA from 1 species